UUUAAGGUCUAACCUGCCCAAUGAGGAUUUAAAUGGCCGCAGUAUUUUGACUGUGCAAAGGUAGCAUAAUUAUUAGCUUUUUAAUUGAAAGCUUGUAUGAAGGGUUGGACGAGAUAAAAUCUGUCUUUAUUUAAAUUAAAGUAUAAUUUAACUUUUAAGUCAAAAGGCUUAAAUGUUUAUAAAAGACGAGAAGACCCUAUAGAUCUUUAUUUAGUUAAGAUUUUAAUAAUUUAGGAUUAUUUUAAUUUGGAGUUUUAAUUAAAUUUUAUUGGGGUAAUAUAAAGAUUAAAUUAAUUCUUUUUAUUUAUAACAUUAAUUUAUGAAUAUGUGAUCCAUUAAUAUUGAUUAUAAGAUUAAGUUACCUUAGGGAUAACAGCGUAAUUUUUUUGGAGAGCUCAUAUCGAUAAGAAAGUUUGCGACCUCGAUGUUGGAUUAAAAAUUAGCUUGGGUGCAGAAGCUCAAGAUUUUGGUCUGUUCGACCAUUAAAUUUUUACAUGAUCUGAGUUCAGACCGGCGUAAGCCAGGUCGGUUUCUAUCUUUAUUCAGAUAAAAUAUUUUAGUACGAAAGGACCAAGUAUUUAAUAUAAUUAUAUUUAUUUUUU
rnacentral:rRNA from 1 species